CCUACGGGAGGCAGCAGUGGGGAAUUUUGCACAAUGGGGGAAACCCUGAUGCAGCGACGCCGCGUGAGUGAAGAAGUAUUUCGGUAUGUAAAGCUCUAUCAGCAGGGAAGAAAAUGACGGUACCUGAGUAAUAAGCUCCGGCUAAAUACGUGCCAGCAGCCGCGGUAAUACGUAGGGGGCAAGCGUUAUCCGGAUUUACUGGGGGUAAAGGGAGCGUAGGUGGCCUGGCAAGUCUGAAGUGAAAAACCGGGGCUCAACCCGGGGAGUGCAUUGGAAACUGGCCGGCUGGAGUGCCGGAGAGGCAGGCGGAAUUCCUAGUGUAGCGGUGAAAUGCGUAGAUAUUAGGAGGAACACCAGUGGCGAAGGCGGCCUGCUGGACGGUAACUGACGCUGAGGCUCGAAAGCGUGGGGAGCAAACAGGAUUAGAUACCCUUGUAGUC
rnacentral:rRNA from 1 species